rnacentral:rRNA from 1 species
UGUUGGGACCGGCCUCUGCUAAAGAGGAGGAAGGAAUGGGCAACGGUAGGUCAGCAUGCCCCGAAUUAUCUGGGCUACACGCGGGCUACAAUGGGUGGGACAAUGGGUAUCGACACCGAAAGGUGAAGGCAAUCUCCUAAACCCAUCCGUAGUUCGGAUUGUGGGCUGCAACUCGCCCACAUGAAGCUGGAAUCUGUAGUAAUCGUGUCUCAAAAUGGCACGGUGAAUAUGUCCCUGCUCCUU